UACGUAGGGGGCAAACGUUGUCCGGAUUUACUGGGUGUAAAGGGUGCUCAGGCGGUUUUGUAAGUCAGAAGUGAAAUCCUAGAGCUUAACUCUGGAACUGCUUUUGAUACUGCAAAGCUUGAAUGUGGAAGAGGAGGAUGGAAUUUCUGGUGUAGCAGUGAAAUGCGUAGAUAUCAGAAAGAACACCAGUGGCGAAGGCGAUCCUCUGGUCCAUUAUU
rnacentral:rRNA from 1 species